GAGGGAAAGGUGAAAAGCACCCCGGAAGGGGAGUGAAACAGUUCCUGAAACCGUGUGCCUACAAGUAGUUAGAGCCCGUUAAUGGGUGAUAGCGUGCCUUUUGUAGAAUGAACCGGCGAGUUACGAUUUGUUGCAAGGUUAAGCGGAAAAAGCGGAGCCGUAGCGAAAGCGAGUCUGAAUAGGGCGCAUAAGUAACAGGUCGUAGACCCGAAACCAGGUGAUCUACCCAUGUCCAGGAUGAAGGUAAGGUAAUACUUACUGGAGGUCCGAACCCACGCACGUUGAAAAGUGCGGGGAUGAGGUGUGGGUAGCGGAGAAAUUCCAAUCGAACUUGGAGAUAGCUGGUUCUCUCCGAAAUAGCUUUAGGGCUAGCCUCGAGGUAAAGAGUCAUGGAGGUAGAGCACUGUUUGGACUAGGGGCCCUUCUCGGGUUACCGAAUUCAGAUAAACUCCGAAUGCCAUGUACUUAUACUCGGGAGUCAGACUGCGAGUGAUAAGAUCCGUAGUCGAAAGGGAAACAGCCCAGACCACCAGUUAAGGUCCCCAAAUAUAUGUUAAGUGGAAAAGGAUGUGGGGUUGCUUAGACAACCAGGAUGUUGGCUUAGAAGCAGCCACCAUUGAAAGAGUGCGUAAUAGCUCACUGGUCGAGUGACCCCGCGCCGAAAAUGUACCGGGGCUAAACAUAUUACCGAAACUGUGGAUGAACCUCUUUAGAGGUUCGUGGUAGGAGAGCGUUCUAAGGGCGGUGAAGUCAGACCGGAAGGACUGGUGGAGCGCUUAGAAGUGAGAAUGCCGGUAUGAGUAGCGAAAGAAGGGUGAGAAUCCCUUCCACCGAAUAUCUAAGGUUUCCUGAGGAAGGCUCGUCCGCUCAGGGUUAGUCGGGACCUAAGCCGAGGCCGAUAGGCGUAGGCGAUGGACAACAGGUAGAGAUUCCUGUACCAGUGCUAAUUGUUUAACCGAUGGGGUGACACAGAAGGAUAGGGAAUCGCACGAAUGGAAAUGUGCGUCCAAGCAGUGAGUGUGAGAAGUAGGCAAAUCCGCUUCUCGCGAAGCAUGAGCUGUGAUGGGGAAGGAAAUUAAGUACGGAAGUUCCUGAUUUCACGCUGUCAAGAAAAGCCUCUAGGAAGAGUAGUACUGCCCGUACCGCAAACCGACACAGGUAGAUGAGGAGAGAAUCCUAAGGUGAGCGAGAGAACUCUCGUUAAGGAACUCGGCAAAAUGACCCCGUAACUUCGGGAGAAGGGGUGCUCUAUUAGGGUGCAAGCCCGAGAGAGCCGCAGUGAAUAGGCCCAGGCGACUGUUUAGCAAAAACACAGGUCUCUGCAAAACCGUAAGGUGACGUAUAGGGGCUGACGCCUGCCCGGUGCUGGAAGGUUAAGAGGAGUGCUUAGCUUCGGCGAAGGUACGAAUUGAAGCCCCAGUAAACGGCGGCCGUAACUAUAACGGUCCUAAGGUAGCGAAAUUCCUUGUCGGGUAAGUUCCGACCCGCACGAAAGGCGCAACGAUCUGGGCACUGUCUCAACGAGAGACUCGGUGAAAUUAUAGUACCUGUGAAGAUGCAGGUUACCCGCGACAGGACGGAAAGACCCCGUGGAGCUUUACUGCAACCUGAUAUGGAAUGUUUGUACCGCUUGUACAGGAUAGGUAGGAGCCGAAGAGACGUGUGCGCUAGCAUACGAGGAGGCAAUGGUGGGAUACUACCCUGGCUGUAUGACCAUUCUAACCCGCCACGCUUAGCGCGUGGGGAGACAGUGUCAGGUGGGCAGUUUGACUGGGGCGGUCGCCUCCUAAAGAG
rnacentral:rRNA from 1 species